rnacentral:rRNA from 1 species
UGGGGAAUAUUGCACAAUGGGCGAAAGCCUGAUGCAGCAACGCCGCGUGAGUGAUGAAGGCCUUCGGGUUGUAAAGCUCUGUCUUUUGGGACGAUAAUGACGGUACCAAAGGAGGAAGCCACGGCUAACUACGUGCCAGCAGCCGCGGUAAUACGUAGGUGGCGAGCGUUGUCCGGAUUUACUGGGCGUAAAGGAUGCGUAGGCGGAUUUUUAAGUGAGAUGUGAAAACCCUAAGCUUAACUUGGGGACUGCAUUUCAUACUGGAAAUCUAGAGUGCGGGAGAGGAGAAUGGAAUUCCUAGUGUAGCGGUGAAAUGCGUAGAGAUUAGGAAGAACACCAGUGGCGAAGGCGAUUCUCUGGACCGUAACUGACGCUGAGGCAUGAAAGCGUGGGUAGCAAACAGGAUUAGAUACCCUGGUAGUCCACGCCGUAAACGAUGAGUACUAGGUGUAGGAGGUAUCGACCCCUUCUGUGCCGCAGUUAACACAAUAAGUACUCCGCCUGGGAAGUACGAUCGCAAGAUU